CCUACGAGAGGCAGCAGUGGGGAAUAUUGCACAAUGGGGGAAACCCUGAUGCAGCGACGCCGCGUGAGUGAAGAAGUAAUUCGUUAUGUAAAGCUCUAUCAGCAGGGAAGAAAAUGACGGUACCUGAGUAAGUAGCCCCGUCUAACUACGUGCAAGCAGCCGCGGUAAGACGUAGGGGGCAAGCGUGAUCCGGAUUGACUGGGGGUAAAGGGAGCGUAGACGGCAGUGCAAGUCUGGAGUGAAAGGCGGGGGCGCAACCGCCGGACUGCUGUGGAAACUGUACGGCUGGAGUGCAGGAGAGGGAAGUGGAAUUCCUAGUGUAGCGGUGAAAUGCGUAGAUAUUAGGAGGAACACCAGUGGCGAAGGCGGCUUACUGGACUGUAACUGACGUUGAGGCUCGAAAGCGUGGGGAGCAAACAGGAUUAGAUACCCGGGUAGUC
rnacentral:rRNA from 1 species